UGUAUAAGAGACAGUGAGUCAUCGAAUCUUUGAACGCACAUUGCGCCCUUUGGUAUUCCUUAGGGCAUGCCUGUUCGAGCGUCAUUUAAACCUUCAAGCUCAGCUUGGUGAUGGGUGACUGUCCUCCCCUCGCGGGGGGACUCGCCUCAAAAACAUUGGCGGCCGGUACAUUGGCUUCGAGCGCAGCAGAAACGCGGUCUCGAGCCCGGUGGAUCGGCUCCCAUAAGUCUAUUCUUUUAUUUUGACCUCGGAUCAGGUAGGGAUACCCGCUGAACUUAAGCAUAUCAAUAAGCGGAGGAC
rnacentral:misc_RNA from 1 species